UACGGAGGGUGCGAGCGUUGUUCGGAAUCACUGGGCGUAAAGGGCGUGUAGGCGGUCCGCUAAGUCUGAUGUGAAAGCCCGGGGCUCACCCCCGGAAGUGCAUUGGAAACUGGCGAACUCGAGUCCCGGAGAGGAGAGUGGAAUUCCUGGUGUAGCGGUGAAAUGCGUAGAUAUUGGGAGGAACACCAGUGGCGAAGGCGGCUCACUGGACCGGUACUGACGCUGAGGCGCGAAAGCUAGGGGAGCAAACGGG
rnacentral:rRNA from 1 species